CGUAUUUAUUCAAUUAUCCUAUGAAAAAACUAUUUUAGAGAUUAGUCCGUAAAAUCAUGCAUCUACAACUUUUCGACCGUACAUGGGACUAAAAUGAGUUAGACAUGUAAAAUGAUUAGAAUUUCAUGUAGAUUCAUAAUAUCCCACUUUCAUAUAUGUUAAAAUAUUUAAACUUGUUGUUUGCGUUAUUUUGCGUGGUGCCAUUUUAAAAU
rnacentral:lncRNA from 1 species